rnacentral:lncRNA from 1 species
CCAGUAUAUAUCAUGUUUGUGUUUUUUUAACUUCCUGGGGUAUCAAGGAGUCAUACAGCUUUCUGUCAUGGAAAGCUUCCUCAAAGAGCUGAGGAGAGAGAGUCAGCAUACACAGGUGGCUUCCAGUUGCUCUGAAGGUUUUGAGACGAUGGCCAUGAGAAGCUGGAAGGGCAGAACUGGAAGAAAAAUAAAGGGUGAAGAAGGAAUGGUAUUGGGAAAAGCUGUUGGUUAUAGACUGUUCCCUGAAUACACCUGUAGACACUCAAAAGAGUGCCAUUCCUGCCAGUACUUUACGGUGGUUGUUUUCCUGAAACUUCACAAGUUGAACAUUAGUUUUUUGGGUAGUACAUUACUAAUAGAGCUAUGGUUGAGCAUCGAAUAACAUGGGAUCUCAGAAACUGUUUUCACUCAGUGGGACUGUCAUCCUGCCUUUCGCUUCAGAAACACAAAAGGAUGGAUAUAGUCUUUGCCUAGCUGAAUUUAGUAACUCAGGUGUUAUUGAUUGAAUUGAACAAUUUAUUUAUUUUUUUCCUGGGUUUUAAAGAGUAGUUAGAUCUCUCCAUUAGAACAGUUUUUGAAAGCAAACUCAUGUAGAAAUGCAGAUGGUAGUUGGCAGCCACUAGCCUAAUGAUAGAGUGUAUUUGUAAUGCUAAUAACUCAUUAUCCAUGGAAAUAUAGCAAUUUUUAAGUAAAUAUAAAGAAAGCUGAAAAGAGAAGGCUAGUGUAAUGCAUUCUUUAAGAAGAAAGAACUAGACAAUGUGACUUUUUUUCUUUCUAAUCCUUGGCUACUAGCUGCAGGCUGUUACUGAACAUACCACUGUGCCCCAGCACAUCUGUACAUAUUUAGACACUUUGGUAUAAUCCAUGAGAAAAAUCUUGCAAACAUGCUUGUUGUUUGAGGUUCUGCCCUACCACUAGGAUAUGUUAACUAGUUAAAGUGAAGCCACUAAUUUAGAUUGUUUAUAAAGAAGUUUAUUAUUGGUGGCUUUUGUGGAACACAUUAAGUGUGUAGAUUUCAGAGCAAGGAAACUCAUUACCCCCUUUUUUAUUUAUUUAAUUGUAUGAAAAUCUCAGGUGGAAGAGAGCUUCUUAAAUGAAUAUGGUCUGUUUUUAGUGUCUGCAAAAAGUCUGUCUGUCUGGUGUAACCAGUCUUCUUGGCACAGUGGCAAAGUGGG